rnacentral:rRNA from 1 species
GAACGCUUCUCCGGAUUUCGGUCUGGGGAGGAGUGGCGCACGGGUGAGUAACACGUGGGUAAUCUGCCCUGAAGUGGGGAAUAACACCGGGAAACCGGUGCUAAUACCGCAUACGAUCACGAUGUCUGCGGAUGUUGUGAUGAAAGGAGCAAUUCGCUCCAGGAGGAGCCCGCGGCUGAUUAGCUAGUUGGUGAGGUAAUGGCUCACCAAGGCUACGAUCAGUAUCCGGUCUGAGAGGACGGUCGGACACACUGGAACUGAGACACGGUCCAGACUCCUACGGGAGGCAGCAGUGGGGAAUUUUUGGCAAUGGGGGAAACCCUGACCAAGCAACGCCGCGUGGGUGAUGAAGUCUCUUGGGACGUAAAACCCUUUCGACGGGGAAGAAACCGCAAGGUUGACGGUACCCGUAGAAGAAGCCCCGGCUAACUCCGUG